rnacentral:rRNA from 1 species
CUCUGAUUACUGUCCUCUGAUGGGGGGGAGCGGCAGACGGGAGAGUAACACGUGGGAACGUACCCUUUGGUUCGGAACAACCCAGGGAAACUUGGGCUAAUACCGGAUAAGCCCUUACGGGGAAAGAUUUAUCGCCGAAGGAUCGGCCCGCGUCUGAUUAGCUUGUUGGUGAGGUAACGGCUCACCAAGGCGACGAUCAGUAGCUGGUCUGAGAGGAUGAUCAGCCUCACUGGGACUGAGACACGGCCCAGACUCCUACGGGAGGCAGCAGUAGGGAAUCUUCCGCAAUGGACGAAAGUCUGACGGAGCAACGCCGCGUGAGUGAUGAAGGUUUUCGGA